GGAGUUAGCCGGUGCUUCUUCUGUGAGUGAUGUCCUUCCUGCCGGUUAUUGACCCGCAGGCCUUCUUCCUCACUGAAAGUGCUUUACAACCCGAAGGCCUUCUUCACACACGCGGCAUGGCUGGAUCAGGGUUGCCCCCAUUGUCCAAUAUUCCCCACUGCUGCCUCCCGUAGGAGUCUGGGCCGUGUCUCAGUCCCAGUGUGGCUGAUCAUCCUCUCAGACCAGCUACGGAUCGUCGCCUUGGUGAGCCGUUACCUCACCAACCAGCUAAUCCGACAUAGGCUCAUCCGAUAGCGCGAGGCCCGAAGGUCCCCCGCUUUCCCCCGUAGGGCGUAUGCGGUAUUAGCCUGGGUUUCCCCAGGGUUACUCCCCCACUACCGGGCAGAUUCCUAUGCAUUACUCACCCGUCCGCCGCUCGCCACCAGGGAGCAAGCUCCCCGUGCUGCCGCUCGACUUGCAUGUGUUAGGCCUGCCGCCAGCGUUCAAUCUGAACCAGAUCAAAUUCUGA
rnacentral:rRNA from 1 species